CCAAUAGCGUAUAUUAAAGUUGUUGCAGUUAAAAAGCUCGUAGUUGAAUUUCGGGAUUGACACAUCGGUCGUGCCUUAAGGGGUAUGAACUGGUGUAGUCAAUUUCUCACCUUCUGGAGAACCGCGAUGUCCUUAAUUGGGUGCCGCGGGGAACCAGGACCUUUACUUUGAAAAAAUUAGAGUGUUUAAAGCAGGCAUUUUGCUUGAAUACAUUAGCAUGGAAUAAUAAAAUAGGACGGAUGAUUCUAUUUUGUUGGUUUCUAGGACCACCGUAAUGAUUAAUAGGGAUAGUUGGGGGCA
rnacentral:rRNA from 1 species